ensembl:lncRNA
AUAUUACUUAGGUGAUAUAUUCAAGAUUUGUCUGAUCAUUUAGCACAAAUAAAUAUAACUUCACAUAAAAAAAAUUCAGAUAAAUAAAUAUUAAUGCGAUCUUUAUGAUUUUUAAACACCACAAAAAUAUUCACACACUCACAAAUGAUUAAAUAAUUAAACAAGCUUAGCUAGCUAUGAAGAGGAGGAACCGUGUCUCCUUUGAGGCGUUUUGAAGACGUUUACAUGUUUGAGAAAGUUUACUGGUUUCUAGAUACAUUUCUAUCUUAUUUUUGUUUUGUUUUUUUGUUUUUUUAUCUGGCCGAUUCUAGACUACAUGCUCCUGUCAUGAUUACUUCCAGGUGAGAAUACCAGAUGCCGGACAUUUUUUGCACGAAUUUAGUGGGUGUUGGAGAAAAGGUUCCAAACUACUGUCUUGGAACAGUGAAACCACAAUGCUGGCGUUCCUACAAAUCCCGUCAUCCGUUUUUGCACACACACAUAUUUCAAAUUAAAUUUGUGUGCUUGCAAACAACUGUGUUUCAGGUGAAAUACAUUACAAAGAGCACAACAUAUAGGUUUCUGCUAUGUUUAACAUUCGAAGCACAAACUUUUUUUUUUAAAGUCAGAAAUAGAAUGGACAGAUUUUGGUUCAAUUGUUUUAUAUAUUGAAUAGCUAACACACUAACAAUAUUUAAUUUGUUUCAAAGUGUAAAAUAGUAAUAUGUCAAAUGUCAAGUCCUAUUCUUUAACACAUUUCAUUAUGUUAGACUAAAUGUUAUGUAAAUACUAUCCAUGUCAUUUCUCUGUAUGUUUUCAAUGGGGUAUUAAAAGAAGAUCUAUGUAGAGUUUCAAGAUAUGGACAAAAUGAUCUUGCUAUGUAUUAUGAUAUCUUGCAGUGUAUAUGUGAUAUACUGUAUGUUUGCUUUUACGCAGCUGGCUGCAAGACAUAUCACAGGUUUAUAUUAAUGCCUUUGCUCUAACAGGUUAUCAUUUCUGUUGUAUCAACACGUUGACAGGGACUUGUAUGGCGGACGCUCAUCUAGUUUAAACUUAACAAUGGUUGUAAAGGAAUAAAAGUGUUGUUAUUUAAAAAUCAAAAACAUUGUAACAUUUUGUGAAAGAAGACUUUAGUCAGCAAUACAGCUUUGAUGAUUUGGCUAUGAUUUGGCUUAUAUAUAUUUGGCUGGAUAGAGAUUUGUGAUACCUUAGUUACACAAUAAGCUGUAUUUAUUACCUUCAAUAGAGAAAAAUAUAUUUUUUUGCUAAUGAGGGAGUAACUGUUAACAGGAACUGAAAUGUUUUACAGACAUUUUUACGUUAAAUGUAACUAUAAAACAACUUGUUGUUCUUUGAUAAAUAAAAAUUAGAAUCUUUGUAAAAAAAAAGAAAAAAAAAGUUUCAGCGUAAAAGAAAUUAAACACAUUAGGGUGGUAGCAAAAACUCCAGUAAUAUCACACCACCCUGUCACUGAUUAUUUUCCUGUAACAGAAUGCCCUAUUAUGUUUUAUUACAUAUUUUAAAAUAGCUAUGUAUUAUUUUGAGCAUUUAUUUUUGGGUGUGGCAUACUAUAUACAGUGCCCUCCACUAAUAUUGGCACCCUUGUUAAAUAUGAGCAAAGAAGGCUGUGAAAAAUUGUCUUUAUUGCUUAAGCUUUUGAUCUUUUAUACAAAAAAUUCACAAAAAUACUCUGCUCUCAUGGAUAUCAAACAAUUGCAAACACAACACAGGUUUAUAAAAAAAAAUAUCUUCAAUAACUAUGUGUGCAACAAUUAUUGGCACCCUUUUAGUCAAUACUUUGUGCUACCUCCCUUUGCCAAGAUAACAGCUCUGAGUCUUCUCCUGUAAUGCCUGAUGAGGUUGGAGAAUACAUGGCAAGGGAUCUGAGACCAUUCCUCCAUACAGAAUCUCUCCAGAUCAUUAAAAUUGUGAAGCUAGUGGAUUCUCCUCUUCAGUUCACCCCACAGGUUUUUUAUGGGUUUCAAGUCAGGGGACUGGGACGGCCAUGGCAGGACCUUGAUUUUGUGGUCAGUAAACCAUAUUUGUGUUGAUUUUGAUGUAUGUUUUUGAUCAUUGUCCUGUUGAAGGAUCCAACAAGAGGCAGUCAGGUUUUCAUUUAAUAUAUGUUGAUAUUUGAUAGAGUCCAUGAUGCUAUGUAUCCUAACAAAAUGUCCAGGUCCUCUGACGGACAAACAGCCCCAAAACAUUAAAGAGCCACCACCAUAUUUAACCAUGCGCAUGUGCUACUCUUCCAUAUGGCUACCUCUCUGUGCACCAAAACCACCUCUGGUGUUUAUUGCCAAAAAGCUCUAUUUUGGUUUCAUCUGAACAUAGAACCCGAUCCCAUUUGAAGUUCCAAUAGUGUCUGGCAAACUGAAGAUGCUUGAGUUUGUUUUUGAAUGAGAGUAGAGGCUUUUUUCUUGAAACACUUCCAAACAACUUGUGGUGAUGUAGGUGACUUCGGAUUGUAGUUUUGGAGACUUUCUGACCCCAAGAUGCAACUAACUUCUGCAAUUCUCCAGCUGUGAUCCCUGGAGAUUUUUUGGCCACUCGAACCAUCAUCUUCAUAGUGCAUUGAGACAAUAUAAACACACAUCCAAUUCCAGGUUGAUUCAUAACAUUUCCAGUUGACUGGAACUUCUUAAUUAUUGCCCUGAUGGUGGAAAUGGGCAUUUUCAAUGCUUUUGCUGUUUUCUUAUAGACACUUCCCAUCUUGUGAAGCCCAACAACUUUUGCUGCACAUCACAGCUAUAUUCCUUGGUCUAACCCAUUGUUAUGAAUGACUAAGGGAAUUUGGCCUAUGUUUGACCUCAUAUUUAUACUCCUGUGAAACAUGAAGUCAUGGUUGAACAAUUUCCUGUUCCUAUUCACUCAGAUGUUCUGAAAAAAAAAUUAAACAUCAGUGUGAAUAUACGUCAAAUAUAUUUUUCUCAUAUGAAUUCCUAGGGUUGCUAAUAAUUGUUGCACACUUAUAUUUAACAAGAUAAUUUUUUGGAUAAACCUCUGUUGUGUUGGAAACUGUUUGAUAUCCAUGAGAGCAGAGUAUUUUUGUGAAUUUUUUAAACAAAAAUCAAUAGGUUAAAAAAUAAAGACAAUUUUUCACAGCCUUCUAUGCUCAUAUUUACCAAGGGUGCCAAUAUUAGUGGAGGGCCUUGUAUGUACUCAUUUUCAUCACUAUCACUUCAGGUACUCCCCUGGCAAAGGGAAGUGCAAUUUUAACAAGAGAUGUUAUUAGAAUGAAUACAUAAGAAAUGAUGCUGCAAUAUGUAAUCAUAUAAGUUAAACAAUCAUGUACUGUAUGCAUAGGUCACUCAGAGUAGUGACAUUUUUGUAGUGAUUUGCAAAUAGAUUUCUGUUGCUAUUUUGAAACUCCAAAUGUUACCCCUGCUUAUUUUUGACUCACUGUCCAACAUAGUGCCAGCACACAAAAUCAGCUUAACAUUGCAUGUUUAAUAAGAACAAAUACGUAUUGAUGUAUCUUGACAUUCAUGUUUGUGAAUAUAUAUAUUGAGUAAAUUACAUACACUUUAUACCAGAACAGUUUUUCAAUUACUGUACUUGACAAUGUUUGUCUUUUAUAAUUUAUUUGGGUUGCGGUUACAUCAUUUGACCCCUUUAGUUAUUUAUUAAAAUUAAGGCAAAAUUGUUAGUUUUACAAUGACAAAUAUGAAUAAAAACAACCGUGCACCAGUUGUAACUCUUCCUUCUAUAACAUAAAUUUAAUUCACAUUUAGCAUACAAUUUAAGUGUAGGGUGAAUUCAGAUAUAUUGGUGAAAUUUUUUAAUUUCUGCUCUAAGUUUUCUUGACAUGAUUUUUUUUUUAAUCUACCAACACAUCAUUCAUUUCUGAACUCCUCAAGGUGUUAAUUACCUACAUGUGAAGCAAAAAUUAUUGUAUCAUAUUCUAAAAUAGCAUGGCUUACCAUUGUGUCAAAACUUAUCUUUUAA